UUGCUGAAAGAGUUGUAUGAACUAAUUUCAAUGCUAAUGAAGUUCCUGGGCAGCCCCUUCGGCCAGAUCCAAAUGGCAAAAAUUCAUAGUGUUGUCCCCUUACAUCUAAUUGAACUCUACCGCUUAUUCUCUCUUCACUCAAAAAUCUUUCUGGUUGAAAUUCAAGUGGAUUUUCCCGGAUGAAGUCUUUAGAGUUUCUUUGAUGAUGGCUUGAAGGUAGGGAAGGUUUUCUAUGUCCGAUUCUUCGACGAGACGGUUCUUUCCAACGACGGAAUCAAUUUCUUGUACCGCUUUCUGCAUUAUGCUUGGAUGGUUAAUCAGCUCCGCUACUGCCCACUCUAUCGUAAUAGCUGAUGUAUCACUUCCAGCAGCAAACAUGUCCUGCAAAAGUAAACUCAUUUAACCUUGCGAUACUCGAUUAGUUGCGCCAAACUCAGUAGUUUUUGGUCAAACCCUGUAUUUAUAUUAAGAAAUCUAUUGAACAUGUACAAAUUAUUAAUUUAAAACUCAGUAGCUCCGCGUCUAAGGACAUGAAUACCGGCCGAAAGAUUAAACCGUAAAAAAUAAAUAAAUUAAGAGAUGAAGAUGAAAAAGUCACCAUGAUAAAGGCUUUGAUGUUCUCUCUGCUUAAUCGUA